rnacentral:lncRNA from 1 species
AAAACAUGAUUUUAAAUUCAAACUGUAAGAAUAUUUUUAUUUUACAAAGUAAAAAGUUCGGAUUAAAUUAAAUGUUAAACUUUUAAAUGUAAUAAUCACAACACAAUAAUGUCAUUUUAUAUGAUUAACCACGACUAUAGUCUAUAUAACCCUUUACCCAACAUUUGUCUGGUUAUCAAUUAUUGGCUUAACUGUUUUUUUUUUCCUGUAGGCCUAAACUUCUGACAUUUACUAUUUUCGACUAAUCUAGUUUUUUCACCGAAUCGAUUGCAUAAAAUAUAUAGUACAUUAGUACACAUUGUUUGAUAUCAAUAUCGCCAUUUUAAAAAAAAGUGACUUCAGGAUUACUUUUCCCUGUACCCUUCAAAUGUAAACCACCAACCCAGCAAUUGAAUUUAAAACGCAAAACUGAAUUAUGAAAGAUUUUCAAACGAUAAAUAGUUGUAAGAUCUACAAACAUAACAAUAUAGAAAUUUAAAAGUAUAUAACUAUCCUAUCUAAUGAACCAAAUUUGUUUUCGUAUUUCCAAUAUUGUACCUUAGGUACAUAUACGUUCGGAGAGGAAUCGGCAAGAUAAAAUAUAUUUUUAUGAUUUGAAGGUAUUGUUGUUAGUUGCCAUUUAUAAUUAUAGUUCUCAAUGUUUACAUAUUAUUUUAUUAAUCGACAUAUUUUAGAUCUUGGUUUAUGAAAUAAGAUUAUAUUGUGUAUUAUUUAUAUUUAAUAUUGUGUAUUUAUUUUCUUAAAGAAGCCUUGCUAACUGAAAAUCCUAAAAGGUUAAUGUUCGUUACAUAGCUAAUUCAAUUAUAAUAUAAGUAUACACAUGUAUGCAGAGUAACGUCUACUAACAAUGACCCCAUAAACAAUAUGUCUAAGGAGCAUCUUAUUAGAAUUCAAUAUAAAAAAACAAGUUGUUUAUUUACUGGCGUAUUGGUUUUCGUUUAUUAAAUAUAAAGGUAACUAAUAUAUUUAAAAAGACGUCCUAGGAUAAUAGGGAUGAGUGCAGCCACUGUUAAAGAUAAACAAUUGCUUACGAAAAAACGAUUCUUAGUGGAGUUCAGUUGAUAGUGAUGCUCUGUCAACAAUAUAAAUGUCAUUUUAUAGUAGAAUAAUUAAAUAGGCUUUAUACAUUUUCUUUAAUAAUAUUUGUUCAAUGUUGUAACGUUAUUCCCGGUUUUCCCAUGUUUUAUUCCGGUUUUUCAAAUUUGCUGGGGAAAACUCUUGAGAAAAUCGAAAAAUAGUUCUCUAAAGUACCUCGCUAGUGAAAUUUCCUUUUUGAAACAUUUCUGUCAUUAAAAGUUGGAACAAAAUUGCUAGUAAAAAGUUGUGCUCAGAAAAAAAGAAGGCCAUAAUAUAUUUCAAAUAAUACCUCCGUCUCUUAUAUAUUCUCGUUUUUUUUUUCAGUUUUACAAAUUUGAUGAGAAAACUCUUAAGAAAAUCGAAAAAUGACCUCUUUAAAGUACCUUGUUGGUAAAAUUUCGUUUUAGAAACAUUACUAUCAUUAAAAUAUUACUUAAACUUUAGUUUACUUAAAGUACUUAAGUUUAAAAGUCUUCUGGUAGAAAAGUUGCGCACAGAUAAAAAAAAAUAAUAAUAAACAUCUUUGUAAAACUAUAAGCUACUUCACUCCACUCAGAAUCUAAAAUAAAACCAAAUCUAUAGGACCCACCUAGACAUAAGGACUCCCAGGAAAACCGAGAAAAAAAAAUGGAAAAGUUAACGGAUAUAACGGUUUCAUUAUCUACGAAUAGUUAACGAGACGUAAAAUUAUU